UAGCUAGCUAGCGAUAAUGCCGAUAACCGUAGCUAGGGAUAAACGAAAAUCCUCACUACAAAAAUGUGAUUUCCGAUCCACACCUAUUGAUCUUAGGUGAACGCAAAAAGCCUGUGCGAAAGAAGAAACCUUCCAAGUUAAAAAAGAAACGGAUUGCACGUAGAAAAAGACUAAACAAGCUGAAAAUCAAACCUGAAGCAUCUUCAUCAUCUACGAUGAAGAAUUUACAUGAAGAUUCUGAUUCGGAGGUGGAAUACUGGAAUAAGCAUGCUGAUUGUAUUGCUCUACGGUUGGAAUUGGAUAACUCCGAUGAUUUCGAUAAUCCUAUAGAGGAAGAGGAGAAGGUCCCUAGAAAACCAUUCAUUAAGGAGGGUGCAGAAUUAGAUUGAAAACCGUUUAGAGUUGAGCUAUGCUCGGAUGCUCCGAUCCUUGGGCCAGCAUUAUGAUGUGGGUCAUUAUUAUGAAACCAAUGCCUGAAAGGAUUCUAUCCUUUGACUGAACGAUGAAAUCAAUGCCGGAAAGGAUUCUAUCCUUUGAAAGUGCCCAGUUUCUCAUUUAAUUUUCGUCUUCAUUGUUGCAUAAUCCAUUUAGACUUUCAGUUAUGUGUUUCAACGUAUCAACUUUUGAUCAAGUUGUUUUGAACAAGCUUAUCAAAGUACAUGCUAUAGCUAGUAAUAAGCAGUUAACUUUGUACAGAACAAUUCUUGUACUCUUAUUAUGACAUCCUAUUAUACUCUCUUCUCCUUAUGAUAA